rnacentral:lncRNA from 1 species
AUAUAACUGAGCUCCCCAGCCACAUCAAAGUGCUUCUUGCUAACCAUGAUGACAUAUCAAAGACUUCUGCAUCGUUCAAAAUGACACCUGCAGAUGACCAGUGGAGUGCCUCAGGCAAGCUUUCAACACUGAAAAUGAAGCUGGCAGAAAAUGAAGAUUUGGAUGAAAAUUAUGUUGAUGGAAAUGGGACAUCCUCACGAAUAAAAGCUUCCUGCAUAUUUCCUAGUCGACCUAAGAGAAUGUUCAGUAAGUUAUGGUCCAGCAAUAGAUCAGUUGCAAGUGAAAAGAACUGAAUUUUAUUUGCUUAGUUUCUUGGUUAAUAGCGUUUGGGGAAGGGCAGGGGGCUAUUUCAAGGGUAAAGUAUACUCUGUUCGCCACAAUUCUUGCCAGUUAAAUAUCUAUUUAUCUCUUUCGUUACUUCUCGGAAAACAAGUUGUAAUCUUUAUGAAAGGAAAAUCCAAUGUGAAUUAUUGGUUUAUCCUAUCCAAUAAAAAUAUUGUUGCGGAAGAUCGUGAGUUAACUAGCACAUAAUCACACACAAAGCACAUAAAAAAAAUGAAAAUUUAAUGAGGUUCAGCUAAGCCUCAUUCUCGUGACAACAAAAAGAGAGAAUUUUCCAUUUAUCAAAAAAUCUCCUCCUACAAGCCCUAUAUAUAAAUCUCAAGUAAUCAUAAACCUAUAAUAGAAUAGUUUUCCCAAUUCUACAAGAAUAAUAGGUUUUCCUUUCCCAAUCAAUUAGAAUAAUGUGUUUUCCAAACGUAAAGGCAUUAUGGGGUUUUUUUGAACCCGAAAAAAAAGGCUUUCCUUUCCCAAUCAAUUAGAACAAUGUGUUUUUAAAACGUAAAGGCAUUAUGGGUUUUUUUUUCUUCUAAAAAAAUGAGAAAAAAAAUUCAAGACACAAUUAACAAAUUUUUCUUCUAAAAAAAUGAGAGAAAAAAAUUCAAGACACAAUUAACAAAUCUUCCCCUAGGCUUGAAUUCUCUUUAUCAAUAGGAAUUACAUCUCCUUGCGUAGCCCUUAGCCGUUGCAAGGACUCUUUCCAUCAUGAACACAUCAACCAAAUCUAGGAAAAGCCUAAACUUAUUAAGAGGCUCAAUCUUUGCAGCCAUAAUAUUAAUCGAUCAAUUUGGUUUUGCAUCCGAAAGAGCUUUUGGAUAGCUAUUAAACUGAAGCAUAACAACGGUCUUUACAAAAGUAAAUCCUACAAGACUUGCAUAUCCAAGAAGA